GACGAACGCUGGCGGCGCGCUUAACACAUGCAAGUCGAGCGAAGCGGCGGACGGGUGAGUAACACGUGAGUAACAUGCCUUAGACAUUGGGAUAGCCUCGGGAAACCGGGAUUAAUACCAAAUGGUCUAAGAUGGAGUCGCGUCCGAUUAGCUAGUUGGUGAUGUAACGGCCCACCAAGGCGACGAUGGGUAGCCGGCCUGAGAGGCUGAACGGCAACAUUGGAACUGAGAACCGGACCGAACUAUACGGGAGGCAGCCGUGGGGAAUAUUGCCCAAUGGAGGGAACUCUGAUGCAGCGGGGCCGCGUGAACGAAGAAGGCUUUCGAGUCGUAAAGUUCUUUUAUAUGGGAAGCGGUACCAUAAGAAAAAGCCCCGGCUAACUACGUGCCAGCAGCCGCGGUAAUUC
rnacentral:rRNA from 1 species